GAAUUUUCCAUCAUAUCAGGGCUUGCAAUGGUUCAGUGGCUAUCAGGUCCCCUAGGCAGAGGUCAGCCCCUCCUUGCUGCAGGGGGAGCAGGCGCUGAGAGGGGAAGUGACUUGGUAAAGGUGAUUGUCCAGCUCCCUGCCUAACUCAGUGGUUCUCAAUCAGGGGGUAUGUAGAGGUCUUCCAGGAGAUGCAUCAACUCAUCUAGAGACUUGGCUAGUUUUACAACAGGCUACAUUCCUGCACAGCCCAUAGCAAAUGAAAUUUCAGACAAUGAUUUGUUGAAACUGUUUGAUAUACCUCAUCCUGAAAUUGUGGAUGUUGUGUGGCAGGCUGACGGAGCUGCAGGACCUUGGACAGGGCAGUGCUGUCAGAAGCUGGGGAGAGUGAAAGUUCUGGGCUGCUUGCUGGGACUCUCAUCAGGACAAGGACCUGAGGCCAGUCGAGGCAGGGGAGGAGGCUGAGCUGCCCACUGGAUCCAGGUUGGAGGAGGACGAGGAUGACCAGGGCAGCACCGUCACCCUCCACAUUGAGACGGUGCCGAGCAGUCAGGACAUCUCCCGGGCUUCGUCAGAGGCCAGGGAAGGAUCCUCUGCAGGACCAUCCAGGAGCGAGGGACCCUCCAGCUCUGCAGCAACAGCAGCACCCCCAAUGGUCCAGGCACCAGCCUGACAAGUCAGGCAGCGGGACCAACUGCUCCGGUGCCAUGCCCAGGCCAUCGAACACAUUGAGGCAGCGAUCACGCGCAAGAUCAACGCUGACCUGGAGUGGCACCAGCAGGCAUGGGGGCAAUUCUUGCACCGGUGUGACCGCAUGUGCGAUGCGAUCACCAUUCUGACAUCGCACAUCGGUCACACAUUGCCUGAUGCACCUGCCCUCCCUGCCAUG